GAAAUUAAAAAAAAAAAAAAAAAUACUUGUAUUCAGUGGUGGUGUCUGUGGUUAAUACUCCGAUCGGUCCUGGUGGAAGAGAAGAAAAGCUGGGGCAGAUGAAAUGAGGUACAUGAAGCCCUUGCAGUUGUUCCAGCAUUUGAGUAAUUCAACCCGAAACCAACGGGGAAGGUUGCUCGGUUUGGAUGUCGGGGAGAAAUAUGUUGGCCUCGCUCUUUCUGACUUUGACAACAAAAUUGCUUCACCUUUCAGUGUUCUCGUCAGGAAGAAGUCAAAUAUUUGUUUAAUGGCUUCUGAUUUUCAGAAUCUGAUGUCUAAAUAUUCCCUGAAGGGAUUUGUUGUUGGCCUCCCUUUUGACAGGCAUCGGGUGGCUUCUGAAGCUGCGCCGGUGAAGAUCUUAAUUGAUCACCUCUGUAGAACAAAAAUGCUUGAAGGAGUAAAGUAUACAUAUUGGAAUGAGUGCUUUACAUCAAAGAAUGUGGAAUUGCUGUUAAAACCUUUGAACUUGAAUCAUCCCGUACUCUCCAAGACUAUUCUAGACAAGUUUGCAGCGGUAGGAAUACUUCAAGGGUACCUGGAUUUUGUCAACAGGAAGAUGAAGCAGACAGCAGUGGAGUGAGGAACUCUUAAUUUUUUGUUCCUUUUCAAUCUUGCUAUGUGUAGGCAUGGGUCACAAAUCACAACUACCUCUGAAUUAAAGCCUGUAACCGACUGAGAUGAAAGCUCCGCGCGAGGUAGAUCCAUUUAUUCCAUUGAGAAGAUUUUGGUUAAACUAUUUAAGGUGCGGGGAAAAUUGGCACGUUAUGUAUGAUUUUGUAGAAAAAAAAAGAAAGACAGAAAAAGGGCUAGCAAUCCUAGAGACAAUUUCUCACCAUAUGUAAAAGUAUUUGAAAGAUUCAUUGGAUGUAGGGGUGGGGAAAAUUUAACUAAAUUGUACUGAAUUAUGAAUUAAGUGUAUUAUAUUAUAUCAAAAGUAUUGAACUAUUUAGAUUAAAAA